UGCAGUCGAGCGGCAGCGGGAAGAUAGCUUGCUAUCUUUGCCGGCGAGCGGCGGACGGGUGAGUAAUGCCUAGGGAUCUGCCCAGUCGAGGGGGAUAACAGUUGGAAACGACUGCUAAUACCGCAUACGCCCUACGGGGGAAAGGAGGGGACCUUCGGGCCUUCCGCGAUUGGAUGAACCUAGGUGGGAUUAGCUAGUUGGUGAGGUAAUGGCUCACCAAGGCGACGAUCCCUAGCUGUUCUGAGAGGAUGAUCAGCCACACUGGGACUGAGACACGGCCCAGACUCCUACGGGAGGCAGCAGUGGGGAAUAUUGCACAAUGGGGGAAACCCUGAUGCAGCCAUGCCGCGUGUGUGAAGAAGGCCUUCGGGUUGUAAAGCACUUUCAGUAGGGAGGAAAGGUAAUAACUUAAUACGUUAUUACUGUGACGUUACCUACAGAAGAAGGACCGGCUAACUCCGUGCCAGCAGCCGCGGUAAUACGGAGGGUCCGAGCGUUAAUCGGAAUUACUGGGCGUAAAGCGUGCGCAGGCGGUUUGUUAAGCGAGAUGUGAAAGCCCCGGGCUCAACCUGGGAAUUGCAUUUCGAACUGGCGAACUAGAGUCUUGUAGAGGGGGGUAGAAUUCCAGGUGUAGCGGUGAAAUGCGUAGAGAUCUGGAGGAAUACCGGUGGCGAAGGCGGCCCCCUGGACAAAGACUGACGCUCAGGCAC
rnacentral:rRNA from 1 species